CCGCUUGCAAGUAAACAGAUGGACCCACGAAGUCCUGUUGAGUAAGGGAUUCAUAUACCUUGAGAGGCGAAGUUUUUAGUUGAACAUCUUUAUUGAUGUGGCUUGAAGACUUGCAGUCAAUUGAGGUGUGCAUUUCUCUUGCUCACGUUGGAGCUCUGACCGUUUAGCUCAACCUUAACUGCUAUGGGCAGCCAUUGUGAGUGAUUGAGUUUACGGACUCUAUUUACUUUCUGAUGGUAGUAAGUGAGGUAACGCUGAACGGGUGAAUAUCUAACGAUAUGUUAGUGAUCAGAUUGUCGAUGUGACUUGUAUGUCAAGUACUUGGUGAAGGGACUUUUCGUCUCUUGUAGAUGAAAACCUCUUCACUAUACAGUAUUUAAGUGCAUAUAAGGAAGCAUCAAUGAUAAUCCAGAGUAAGUAGGUCGGUCAUCCAUCUGACCCGUCUUGAAACACGGACCAAGGAGCCCAGCAAUUGCGCGAGUCGCUCAGUCUUGCAUAGGCUUGAGAGGCGAAAUAAACAUAAUGGUAUGAUCCUGUUCCUCUCUUCUCGUCUGAAGAGAUACAGGCGCAAUGCCAACCUGCUAUAGUUGCCUUGAUUGACAGCUUAGUGGAGUUUGAGCGUAAUUGCUGGUACCCGAAAGAUGGUGAACUAUACUUGGGCAAGACGAAGCCAGAGGAAACUCUGGUGGAGGUCUGUAGCGAUUCUGACGUGCAAAUCGAUCGUCAGACCUGAGUAUAGGGGCGAAAGACUAAUCGAACCAUCUAGUAGCUGGUUCCUUCCGAAGUUUCCCUCAGGAUAGCUGACACAAAUGGAAUCUCUGUAGCACCCGGUAAAGCGAAUGAUUAGAGGUAUUGGGAUCGAAACGAUCUCAACCUAUUCUCAAACUUUAAAUGGGUGCGGAGCUUGACUUUUUUGGAGUGAAGUCUUGCUUUGUAAGAGUUUUGUGUCAAGUGGGCCAUUUUUGGUAAGCAGAACUGGCGCUGUGGGAUGAACCAAACACAGAGUUAAAGUACCCAAUGCCGACGCUCAUGAGACCCCAUGAAAGGUGUUGGUUGCUAUAGACAGC
rnacentral:rRNA from 1 species